UACCAAAAAAUUAAUAAGGAAAUUAGAAUAUCAUAUCGUAUUGACUUUUGUAAUUUUUCUUCCUUUAAACGAUUCGUUUCUAGUUUCUACUCAAUUUCACCAGAUCUUAAUUACCUCGAUUUUUCAUUUUCCGUUCCCGAAAGGAAAACAUCAAACCCUAAAAAGACCAAAAGGGAUGUUCAGGUUCGAAUUUGAAAAGAUCAGGAAACGAAUUUGAUUUCAUCCAAGGAAAAACUUUUUGUUUUUUUUAUUAAUUUCUGUUAUGGCCGACGCGUUCUCCGUGAUUCCCGCCUCCGUCCUUCGUAAUCUCUCCGACAAGCUCUACGAGAAGCGCAAGAAUGCGGCCCUAGAGAUUGAAGGAAUUGUGAAACAGCUGGCUUCAUCGGGAGAUCACGAGAAGAUAUCGGCGGUGAUCAAGUUAUUAGCUACUGAAUUUACUGACUCACCACAAGCCAAUCACCGUAAGGGAGGAUUGAUAGGUUUAGCUGCCGCCACUGUUGGGUUGAGUUCCGAAGCUGCCCAACAUCUUGAGCAAAUUGUGCCACCAGUGCUUAGUUCUUUUUCUGACCAAGAUAGCAGAGUUCGUUAUUAUGCUUGUGAAGCUCUAUAUAACAUUGCAAAGGUUGUACGAGGAGAUUUUAUUAUAUUCUUUAAUAAGAUAUUUGAUGCUUUAUGCAAGCUUUCUGCUGAUGCAGAUGCCAACGUACAGAGUGCUGCUCACCUUUUAGAUAGGCUUGUGAAGGACAUUGUUACUGAAAGUGAUCAGUUCAGUAUUGAAGAAUUUAUACCAUUGUUGAGAGAGCGCAUGAAUGUCCUAAACCCCUAUGUCCGUCAGUUUUUGGUUGGAUGGAUAACUGUACUGGAUAGUGUUCCAGAUAUUGACAUGUUGGGUUUCCUCCCUGAUUUUCUUGAUGGUUUGUUUAAUAUGUUGAGUGAUUCUAGUCGUGAAAUACGGCAGCAAGCUGAUUCAGCACUUUCAGAGUUUCUCCUAGAGAUUAAGAACUCUCCAUCUGUAGAUUAUGGUCGCAUGGCUGAAAUAUUGGUGCAAAGGGCAGCCGCGCUUGAUGAAUUCACUCGAUUAACAGCCAUCACUUGGAUAAAUGAGUUCGUAAAACUUGGUGGAGAUCAGCUUUUUCCCUACUAUGCGGACAUACUGGGAGCCAUUCUCCCCUGCAUAUCUGAUAAAGAAGAGAAAAUUAGAGUGGUUGCUCGUGAAACCAAUGAAGCACUUCGUUCAAUUGAGGCUAAUCCAACAGAAAACUUUGAUGUGGGUGGCAUUCUCUCCAUUGCGAGGAGGCAACUGGAUAGUGAGUGGGAGGCUACCAGAAUUGAAGCAUUGCACUGGAUAUCAACCCUUUUAACCAGACAUCGUGCUGAGGUCCUGUGUUUUCUAAACGAUAUAUUUGACACCCUGUUGAAAGCUCUAUCUGACUCUUCUGAUGAGGUGGUGCUCCUGGUUCUUGACAUUCAUGCUUGCAUUGCACAAGAUCCCCUACAUUUCCGCCAACUUGUUGUUUUUCUGGUGCAUAAUUUCCGGAUUGAUCAUUCUCUUCUGGAGAGGCGUGGUGCUUUAAUAAUCCGUAGACUUUGUGUUCUCCUGGAUGCUGAAAGGGUUUAUCGUGAGCUAUCCACCAUACUAGAGGGAGAAGCAGACCUAGUUUUUGCCUGCGUUAUGGUUCAGGCUUUGAAUUUAAUUCUACUCACUUCUUCUGAGCUAUCUGAGCUUCGGGAACUUUUGAAACAGUCACUUGUUAAUGCUGCUGGAAAAGAUUUAUUUGUUUCUUUGUAUGCAUCAUGGUGCCAUUCACCCAUGGCAAUCAUUAGUCUCUGUUUAUUAGCUCAGACGUACCAACAUGCAUGUGCUGUGAUUCAGUCCCUGGUCGAGGAAGAUAUUAAUGCCAAAUUCUUGGUCCAGCUUGAUAAGUUGAUUCGCUUGCUCGAAACUCCAGUCUUCGCUUAUCUAAGAUUGCAGCUUCUUGAACCCAGACAAUACAUAUGGUUGCUGAAAGCAUUAUAUGGUCUUUUGAUGCUACUUCCACAGCAAAGUUCUGCAUUCAAGGUUUUGCGAAGACGUUUAAAAACUGUGCCAUCAUACUCUUUCGGUGGUGGCAAUCUCAAACGAGCAGCUUCAGGCAACCCUCACUCUCAAAUUUUACAUCAUAGUGGAUCACAAAUUACCGAGGAUGGUGAUAUAGACCAAGAUAAUGGGAAUUUACAGAGUGGAAUUAACUUUGCUUCAUUGCAACAGUUUAAGCAAAUGCAGCAACAACACCAUAUGCUUGCAAAAUCACGAGCACAAUCACGAAACAGUUCCACUUCAAUUUUGAAGGAGGGCCCAAAGUAGAACCCUUACAACCUUCAACAUUAGGCACAAACAAGUCUCCAUUAUCAACUAGGGAGGGCCGGGGCAAUUGUAGAUUUAAUUGCUGUCGUUACUGCCAAUUGAUAAUUCAAGUUCAAUCAUACUACAAUCCUCGGGGAUAUUGAAUCUGCUCAGAGGGUGAUAAGAACUAGUUGAAUCUGGAACUUGGAGCUUAGUUUGUGUCAUUAAUCUUACAUCAUAUAGAAAAGGAAAGGCUUUUGAGCAUAUAAGCGGGUGCGUUUCACAUUCUAUCAAAUUGUUCUUUUUGGAAGACUGAUGGAUUCAUGGUAAGUUGUUGUGGAGUGUUCUUUUGUUAAGGUGAGGAUAUGUUACAAUAUAGUAAAAUGGAGUGUUGUCAAGAGAUGGUGGAGAGGAAGAUUGGAGCAGAUUCUGUAAAACAAGUCCAGUGGUAGAAAAAGUGAAAGUUACGGUGGUGGUGGUGAUUGUUUAAAGAAAAUUGUAGAGAGAAUUUAGAAUAAGUCCUCAAAUGAAACUUUCUAUCCUCCAUUUAUGUCCCUCUCAAUGAGGUUAUGAAAGGGAGAUUAUUAAAGAAGGGGUGAAUGUGCCGUAAAUAAUAGGUGGUGGUGGAAGUAAGAGAGGUUACAUGAACGUGGGUAAUGGGAGAGAAGUUAUAUGGGUAGUGGAUAUAGUGAUUGUUAUAUGGAGGUUACACAGACAACAUAUUUUGGCAAGGAUGCUUCGCGUGAAUGCGUUCUUUGUUUAACGAGAGGAGAAGCAUUUGUUUUCCAAAGAAAAGUUAAUAAGCUAACUUGUUUGUAUUUAGAGUCAAUUUAGCAUUGCUUUUCAGAAGCACUUUUGGGACAAGAAGUACUUUUGGGACAAAAAGCACUUUUGAGAUAAAAUGAUUGUUAAACAAUCUGUUUUUGAGUUUGAAAAAAAUACUUAGGAAAAUAAAUUUUUUGGCCAAAUGCAGAAGUAGAAAAUUUUAGUUUUUGUUCAAAAGUGCUUUAUGACCUAAAUGCAGUUUUGAAAAGCAUUGCUAAAUUAACUUUUAAGCUUUCAAGCUAUGCUUUUUUAGAUGGAAUGGUGUUUUAAGGUUAACUUCCAUAGUUUUCGCAAUAGAAGUUCCCGAAGUUAAACAAGUUAAAAAAGUGUUAGUGAGAGAAAUUCUGCGAAAUAGAAAUUAUGAGGAUUGAAAAUAUUGGUACAACUAAAAAUUAAGGAUUGCGGAACUUAGAAACUUCAUAGUUAGUGAGAGAGAAAUUGGUAGAUAGAACUGUGUUUACGAGAGCAGAGGCGGACCCUAAUUAAUGGUGGUCUAGGGGGCCUUGGCCUUCUCAAAAUUUUGGGAGUUUUUUAUUGCUCUCUUGAAAUUUUUAGUAAAUUUCAAUUAAUCUCCAAAAAUUCUGGAAAUUUUCAUUUUUUUCUUUUGGAGUUUCUAGAAAAUUUUGAUUAGGUCCUUUAGAAAUUUUGAAAAUUUUCAUCAUACUUAUUUUAUAUUUUAAAAAGAAAAUUAAGUUCCUUAAAAAUUUUGAAAAUUUUAAUUUAUCUCGAAAUUUCAAAAUUUUUUAUUUUUUAAAAUUCUUAUUAAACUCUUAGAAAUUUAAAUAUUUUAUGAGGUCCCAAAACUUAACCUUAAGAUCUGCAGUUGUAUUAGAGUGAGAUUGGAUUCUUUCCUUGUUGAAUUUGAUUCACUAGAAUUCUGGGUGUAUAGUCAUGAUAAACUAAAUAACGAUCGAUUUAUUAAAUAAGAAUAAAAUAAGCGCAACCACAUGAUUAAGGAUUUAUGCGGCUCUGCCAUACGGUUGCAGAAGUUAGAUCUGUGGUUAGCGGGAUGAAAGCUAGCAAGAGCUAGUAAAAUUUGCAGCUAGCGGAAUGUAAAGAUUGAGGGAUUCCGAGGGCAAUAUGGAACUAACAAGAUACAAGCUAGCGGGAUUUGAAGCUAUCGGAAGUUAGGGCGAUCCAAUAACUCGUUCUCAAUAGAGAUUACUACCAUGUCAACCAUUUAAAGAAAAAAAAAAAAGAUUAUUACCAAGGCUAAAAGUUUUUUCGAGAUUUUUACUGCUAAUAGUAUGUCUAUCAUAAUUCUACAAAGCCUUUCACAUUGUUGUAAAAUUUGCAAGACAUGCCCAUUAAAUCAUUAUACCAAAUUUAUUUGUAUAUAUACUUUUAAAUAUGUUAUUGAGCAGAUAGAAACUUGCUUAGGAUAUAACGCUACGCAUGCCAUAUUUCUAAUCGUCAUGUAAAUCUCUUUCUUUUCAAUAUUAUUAUACCAUGUGAUAAACUUUGUUUUCAAGCAAAACAUUUGUUGAGAUUGAAACACAAGAA